rnacentral:rRNA from 1 species
GACGAACGCUGGCGGCGUGCUUAACACAUGCAAGUCGAACGGAAAGGCCCUGCUUUUGUGGGGUGCUCGAGUGGCGAACGGGUGAGUAACACGUGAGUAACCUGCCCUUGACUUUGGGAUAACUUCAGGAAACUGGGGCUAAUACCGGAUAGGAGCUCCUGCUGCAUGGUGGGGGUUGGAAAGUUUCGGCGGUUGGGGAUGGACUCGCGGCUUAUCAGCUUGUUGGUGGGGUAGUGGCUUACCAAGGCUUUGACGGGUAGCCGGCCUGAGAGGGUGACCGGCCACAUUGGGACUGAGAUACGGCCCAGACUCCUACGGGAGGCAGCAGUGGGGAAUAUUGCACAAUGGGCGGAAGCCUGAUGCAGCAACGCCGCGUGCGGGAUGACGGCCUUCGGGUUGUAAACCGCUUUCGCCUGUGACGAAGCGUGAGUGACGGUAAUGGGUAAAGAAGCACCGGCUAACUACGUGCCAGCAGCCGCGGUGAUACGUAGGGUGCGAGCGUUGUCCGGAUUUAUUGGGCGUAAAGGGCUCGUAGGUGGUUGAUCGCGUCGGAAGUGUAAUCUUGGGGCUUAACCCUGAGCGUGCUUUCGAUACGGGUUGACUUGAGGAAGGUAGGGGAGAAUGGAAUUCCUGGUGGAGCGGUGGAAUGCGCAGAUAUCAGGAGGAACACCAGUGGCGAAGGCGGUUCUCUGGGCCUUUCCUGACGCUGAGGAGCGAAAGCGUGGGGAGCGAACAGGCUUAGAUACCCUGGUAGUCCACGCUGUAAACGGUGGGUACUAGGUGUGGGGUCCAUUCCACGGGUUCCGUGCCGUAGCUAACGCUUUAAGUACCCCGCCUGGGGAGUACGGCCGCAAGACUAAAACUCAAAGGAAUUGACGGGGCCCCGCACAAGCGGCGGAGCAUGCGGAUUAAUUCGAUGCAACGCGUAGAACCUUACCUGGGUUUGACAUGGAUCGGGAGUGCUCAGAGAUGGGUGUGCCUCUUUUGGGGUCGGUUCACAGGUGGUGCAUGGCUGUCGUCAGCUCGUGUCGUGAGAUGUUGGGUUAAGUCCCGCAACGAGCGCAACCCUUGUUCACUGUUGCCAGCACGUUAUGGUGGGGACUCAGUGGAGACCGCCGGGGUCAACUCGGAGGAAGGUGGGGACGACGUCAAGUCAUCAUGCCCCUUAUGUCCAGGGCUUCACGCAUGCUACGAUGGCUGGUACAGAGAGUGGCGAGCCUGUGAGGGUGAGCGAAUCUCGGAAAGCCGGUCUCAGUUCGGAUUGGGGUCUGCAACUCGACCUCAUGAAGUCGGAGUCGCUAGUAAUCGCAGAUCAGCAACGCUGCGGUGAAUACGUUCCCGGGGCU